CAGCAACAAAGUAUAGCCUUGGUUUUCUCAAUAUCAGGUCACAAGAGGCCACCAGGAAAAAAUAAUAAUGCUGGCAAAACACACCUGAAUGCCAGCCAUUUUCAAAAAUAAAGAAUUCUCCUCAGCAUGGCAUACUUCCCUCCUAUGACACACACAGCUUGGUCACAGAGUGGGAUUCUGCUAAACACUGGUAGCUGUUUGUCAAUUUGAACCUUCUUUUUAACAUCUCCUUGUGCUUCUGGUCCUGACCUCUUUGAGAAGAUCAUAUGAGUCACGAGGUGUUUUUUGUACCAUCAUAGCAAAUGCACAGCAGAUCAGCAGAGUGGAGAGGAAAAGACCACACCACAGAGCAAGUGUGAGAUUGUGUAGUUGAGAAUGCCUGACAUCUCACUGCUGAGCUUGAGGGGCAAAAGCUGUGUCUGGGCCAUGUUUUCAAGCAGACAAUGCAAAGAAUGGAUGAAAUGAGAGAAAUAAAACAGCUGCUCCAUCAAAACUCUCUCGGUCUAGUGAGGGAUCCUGCAUGGAUAGAAGAGAGCAGAAUAAGGGCCAAAGAAGUAGAGCAGCCUUGAAAUUGCUCCAUAGUCCUCUUCCUGUUCCUGAGGCUGGGGACACUACAUUUACACCAAAUGGUGUUCUCUCCAAAGGAAAACUAAAUGGGGUGUGAAGAGCAAUUCAAGUCCCUGGGGAAAUACAAGGAAACUAAAUCAGAUUGAGCAUGUCAAAACCAUCUCAGGUGAUAGAAUUACAGGAGAACAAGGAAAGAGGUAGACAAAUAUGGGAAGGAAAACUAGCGGCUGAGUGCUUUGAAGCCUUCUGCAUCAAUCCAGCUGGGACCAAGGGCAUCCUGACCUUCCCAGGAAGCUGCUCAAGAGAUUUGUCCUCAGGGUCUUCAAAAACCAAAGCUGAAAAAGAGCUAGGCAGUAAAAAUGAGGGCUGAGUUAUUCAGACUGUAUACUAAAUGAUGCUCCUAGCCCAGAAUUUGGUGAAAAAGCAGAUGUCAUGUUCCACUAUGGGGAAUGGUGAUGAGUUCUUUUAAAAAAUCCAGAACUGAGAUCACCAUCAUUUGUAGCUAUGAGUGGGAGCAAAUGGAUCUAAACAACUGCAAGAAAUGAAUUGUCAGUGAAUUGUGUCCCCUUUUAGU